UCCGGGCGGCAUGGCGGCUGUGCUGCGUCCGAGUGUGGCAUGGUGCAAAGCCAGGGUGAAAACACUCACCUGCUUAGGAAGCUGAUUCUUUCACUGGACCAACACUAAACCUGCACCAUGGAGGAAGUUGUCCUGCAGAGGCCUGGGGGCUGUACUGCUGCCCAGAGACAGCUUUGGCAGAGAGCAAGUCGGGCUUCAAACUGGUAAGAGAGUGCUUUGGUAUCGCAUACUGCUGGGUUUUGAUCUGUGUGUAGGCAGC